rfam:Beta vulgaris subsp. vulgaris Bvchr9.sca011.con0094.1, whole genome shotgun sequence.
CUACCAUUCUCAUCCUUUGGCUAAGAUCAAGUGUAGUAUCCAAAACGUGGGACAAUGUCCCACAAUAAUAUUAGAUUUAUUUUUUAAAGUGGAAAGUUCCAUAGUCCAUAACAGCUUGCUUUUGGGAACUUGUGUAGCCUGUGCGUUGCACUAUAAGUGUAGUAUCCAAU